rnacentral:rRNA from 1 species
GAUGAACGCUGGCGGCGUGCCUAAUACAUGCAAGUCGAGCGAACAGACGCUGCUCUUGCUCCUCUGACGUUAGCGGCGGACGGGUGAGUAACACGUGUAUAACCUCCCUAUAAGACGGGGAUAACUUCGGGAAACCGGAGCUAAUCCCGUAUGAUCUAUUGAACCGCAUGGUUCAAUGGUGAAAGACGGUGUUUCUGUCACUUAUAGCGGGAUCCGGGCCGCAUUAGCUAGUUGGUAAGUUAACGGCUUACCAAGGCAACUAUGCGUAGACGACGGGAGAGGGUGAUCGGCGACACUGGAACGGAAACACGGUCAAGAGGACUACGGGAGGCAGCAGAAGGGUACCUUACGCAAUGGGCGAAAGCAUGACGGAGCAACGGCGCGUGAGAGAUGAAGGUCUUCGGAUCGUAAAACUCUGUUAUGAGGGAAGAACAAAUGUGUAAGUAACUAUGCACGUAUUGACGGUAACUAAUAAGAAAGCCACGGCUAACUACGUG